rnacentral:sRNA from 1 species
UCGCCUCCAGUGCAGGCUAAAGUUUCUUGUUCGCAAAUUUUAAAGAGUACCUUUGGUGUACAUUUUUCUCUUCAUUUCUUCAUCUCCAAAUGUGCUUUAGUCUUAACCUAGAGGGACCACCUGUGAGUGAGAGGGUAGUUUAGUCUCCAUGCUUAUUCACUCCUUGGUCUCU